AGAGUUUGAUUCUGGCUCAGAACGAACGCUGGCGGCGUGGAUAAGACAUGCAAGUCGAACGGGGUUAUAAUUGUAGUAAUACAAUUAUAGCUUAGUGGCGAACGGGUGCGUAACACGUGAGCAAUCUGCCGGGAAGUGUGGGAUAGCUCGCCGAAAGGCGAAUUAAUACCGCAUGUGGCUAGGGGUGACAUCACUCCGAAGCCAAAGUCGCAAGACGCUUCCUGAUGAGCUCGCGGCCUAUCAGCUAGUUGGUGAGGUAACGGCUCACCAAGGCAAUGACGGGUAGCUGGUCUGAGAGGACGACCAGCCACACUGGAACUGAGACACGGUCCAGACACCUACGGGUGGCAGCAGUCGAGAAUUUUUCACAAUGGGGGAAACCCUGAUGGAGCGACGCCGCGUGGAGGAUGAAGGUCUUCGGAUUGUAAACUCCUGUCAUCCGGGAGUAAGACCUGGCGAUGAAUAGUCGACAGGGUUGAUAGUACCGGAAGAGGAAGGGACGGCUAACUUCGUGCCAGCAGCCGCGGUAAUACGAAGGUCCCGAGCGUUGUUCGGAAUCACUGGGCGUAAAGGGAGCGUAGGCGGCGUGGUAAGUCAGAUGUGAAAUCCCGGGGCUCAACCCCGGAACUGCGUCCGAUACUGCCGUGCUUAGAGGGUUGGAGAGGUAGCUGGAAUUCUUGGUGUAGCAGUGAAAUGCGUAGAUAUCGUGAGGAACACUCGUGGCGAAAGCGAGCUACUGGACAACUCCUGACGCUGAGGCUCGAAGGCCAGGGUAGCGAAAGGGAUUAGAUACCCCUGUAGUCCUGGCAGUAAACGGUGCACGCUUGGUGUGAGGGGAAUCGACCCCCCUUGUGCCGGAGCUAACGCGUUAAGCGUGCCGCCUGGGAAGUACGGUCGCAAGACUAAAACUCAAAGAAAUUGACGGGGACCCGCACAAGCGGUGGAGUAUGUGGCUUAAUUCGAUGCAACGCGAAGAACCUUACCAAGGCUUGACAUGCAUCUCUAAGCGCGUGAAAGCGCGUGACCCUUCGGGGGAUUUGCACAGGUGCUGCAUGGCCGUCGUCAGCUCGUGUCGUGAGAUGUUGGGUUAAGUCCCGCAACGAGCGCAACCCUUGUGAUUAGUUGCCAGCGGGUAAUGCCGGGAACUCUAGUCAGACUGCCCAGAUCAACUGGGAGGAAGGUGGGGACGACGUCAGGUCAGUAUGGCCCUUACGCCUUGGGCUGCACACGUACUACAAUGCCCAGUACAAUGAGAACCGAGACCGCGAGGUGGAGGAAAUCUACAAAACUGGGCCCAGUUCGGAUUGGAGGCUGCAACUCGCCUCCAUGAAGUUGGAAUCGCUAGUAAUGGCGCAUCAUCUACGGCGCCGUGAAUACGUUCCCGGGUCUUGUACACACCGCCCGUCACAUCAUGGAAGCCGGUCGCACCCGAAGUGCCCGUGCCAACCGCAAGGAGGCAGGGUCCUAAGGUGUAGCUGGUAACUGGGAUGAAGUCGUAACAAGGUAGCCGUAGGGGAACCUGCGGCUG
rnacentral:rRNA from 1 species